rnacentral:rRNA from 1 species
CCUACGGUAGGCAGCAGUGAGGAAUAUUGGUCAAUGGGCGGAAGCCUGAACCAGCCAAGUAGCGUGCGGGAUGAAGGCCCUACGGGUCGUAAACCGCUUUUGCACGGGGAUAACACCCUCCACUGGUGGAGGUCUGAAGGUACCGUGCGAAUAAGGGCCGGCUAAUUCCGUGCCAGCAGCCGCGGUAAUACGGAAGGACAGAGCGUUAUCCGGAUUAAUUGGGCUUAAAGGGAGCGUAGGCGGGCGUUCAAGUCCGCUGUAAAAUCGCGGGGCUCAACCGUAAAAUUGCAAUUGAUACUGGCAGCCUUGAGUACAGUUGAGGUAGGCGGAAUUCGUGGUGUAGCGGUGAAAUGCUUAGAUAUCACGAAGAACUCCGAUUGCGAAGGCAGCCUACUAAACUGCCACUGACAUUGAUGCUCGAAAGUGUGGGUAUCAAACAGGAUUAGAUACCCCAGUAGUC